GACGAAGGAUGCAAGCGUUAUCCAGAUUCAUUGGGUUUAAAGGGAGCGUAGGUGGCCUUAUAAGUCAGUGGUGAAAUCUCUGGGCUUAACCCAGAAAUUGCCAUUGAUACUGUAGGCUUGAGUAUAGAUGCCGUUGGCGGAAUAUGACAUGUAGUGGUGAAAUACAUAGAGAUGUCAUAGAACACCGAUUGCGAAGGCAGCUAACGAAACUAUAACUGACACUGAGGCUCGAAAGUGUGGGGAGUCAAACAGG
rnacentral:rRNA from 1 species